AGAGUUUGAUCCUGGCUCAGAGCGAACGCUGGCGGCAGGCCUAACACAUGCAAGUCGAACGAACUCUUCGGAGUUAGUGGCGGACGGGUGAGUAACACGUGGGAACGUGCCUUUAGGUUCGGAAUAACUCAGGGAAACUUGUGCUAAUACCGAAUGUGCCCUUCGGGGGAAAGAUUUAUCGCCUUUAGAGCGGCCCGCGUCUGAUUAGCUUGUUGGUGGGGUAAUGGCCCACCAAGGCUACGAUCAGUAGCUGGUCUGAGAGGAUGACCAGCCACAUUGGGACUGAGACACGGCCCAAACUCCUACGGGAGGCAGCAGUGGGGAAUCUUGCGCAAUGGGCGAAAGCCUGACGCAGCCAUGCCGCGUGUAUGAUGAAGGUCUUAGGAUUGUAAAAUACUUUCACCGGUGAAGAUAAUGACUGUAGCCGA
rnacentral:rRNA from 1 species